rnacentral:lncRNA from 1 species
UACCAGGUGCAUUACUGCUGUAUCUAGGGGGCAAGUCUUUCAAGAGCCGCAGCAAGGGGGAAAGGGAUACCAGGUAAGGCCAGCGCUGGUCGUUGUUUUCUUUGUAUUUAUUUCUGUGCUGCCGACCCACCGUGGUCAACAACGUGGUUGCAUUGUUACAUCAUGAAAUUAGACGCGAUUGUUUAUUGAGAGACCUUGAACACGUGGCAUCCGAUCACUUUCAGCACCUUUCAAGCUGGCUGUCCGGCUUUCGUGAAGUGCAGGGCCUCUGACGAUGGAAACUUCCUGGAGGUUAUUGAAAUGAAUGACGACCACAACCAUGAGAUAUCUAAGUUACUCUACAGCCACCUGCCACGAACCAGAGCAUUGAGGGAACCAGGGGCCAAGGAAGAAGCCACAGAGCUCUUGGCUUUCCAUGCCAACAAGAAGUUGGUUAAGAAAAGGAUAGAGGAAAAGACAGGGAAACUUGUCCUGCUCAAAGACUUGAGCAAUACCGCCUCUUCCCUCAGACCACAGACAAGGAAUGACCUCAUGAAGAUGGCAGCUCUUCUGCACAAUGAGCAUGGUAAGCACCUGUCAUUUCAGCACAAGUUUUUAAAGGGACUGUCUAGUGUGCUUUAUUGUUAGUCUGUUUUGUGUCGCAAUAGAAAGCAUACCAUCUGAAGUGUAA